rnacentral:misc_RNA from 1 species
AAAAGUUUCGCCCUUCGGGGUGAUGCGGCACGACGCCGGCGCGGCUCCUCCCCCCUCGGGGGAGUACCGCGGCGGUUGAAGGCUCGAAACCCAAUGUGAAAACCCCCAAGUUGCCUCGGCAGCGCGCCCUCCGGAACUUGUUUUCCGGCGGGCGGUCAGCCUGCCGACGGCACCCAGGAAAUCCUUUUUUAUCCAGUAGUAUCAACCGUCUGAACGCGCAGUCUAAUGACUAUA